UCACUCGGUGCCGCUGCUUGGGGGCUGUAGUGACCGCGCCGCUCCUGCUGGGGGCUGCCCUUGCCAAGGACCUACCUCUGUCGUCUCCUCUUCCGCCGCCCAGGGAGGCGGUCUGAGCUGUACCAGCAGGGGUUCUGUCCUUUGACAUUCUUGUUUGUGAAGAUGGAAACCUUAAUAUCUCUGGAGUCAAGCUUUUACUUGAGAUAACUGAAACCUUGUGUCUUAAGUUUCC
rnacentral:lncRNA from 1 species